rnacentral:lncRNA from 1 species
AUUAACGAUUGAAAGAAACUCUGAAUUGCCUCGCCGUCUGGUACGAAUAGCAUCAACCAACACUUGAGAGUCACUUUCAAACUGGACGCUUUCAAAACCUCUACUCUUAGCUUCAUUCAUAGCUUGCAAUAGUGUCCAUGUUUCACCCUCCUCUGUUGAUAAAGUCAGUUGCUGCCACUGCGUAAUUCCAGCCAUAAACUCACCAGAAUUAUUACGAAAACAAGCACCCAUCGCCGUCCUACCUGCACCGACAAAAAAUGCUGCAUCUACAUUGCACUUUAACCAUCCUAUACGAGGCUUUUCCCACCGAAUGGUGCUGACAAGCGGAACAUCAUGAUCAUCGUUACAUCGCAAUUUAUGGACGGCAAUCCACUCGUUCCACUGAUCAAACGCAGCCCGGCCAAUUUGGUUUGGGCUUCUAACAUUAUCGUUCCAAAUUUUAUCAUUCCGGUUAUGCCAU